AACGAACGCUGGCGGCAUGCCUAACACAUGCAAGUCGAACGGGAUCCUAGCUUGCUAGGUGAGAGUGGCGGACGGGUGAGUAACACGUGGGAAUCUGCCUUUUGGUUCGGGAUAACCGCGGAAACUGCGGCUAAUACUGAAUGCCCUCGAGAGAGGAAAGAUUUAUCGCCAGAAGAGGAGCCCGCGUCCGAUUAGGUAGUUGGUGGGGUAAAGGCCUACCAAGCCGACGAUCGGUAGCUGGUCUGAGAGGAUGAUCAGCCACACUGGGACUGAGAUACGGCCCAGACUCCUACGGGAGGCAGCAGUGGGGAAUAUUGGACAAGUGGGGCAACCCGUGAUCCAGCAAUGCCGCGUGAGUGAUGAA
rnacentral:rRNA from 1 species